ACGGAAGGCAGCAGUGGGGAAUAUUGGGCAAUGGGCGAAAGCCUGACCCAGCAACGCCGCGUGAAGGAAGAAGGCCUUCGGGUUGUAAACUUCUUUUACCAGGGACGAAGGACGUGACGGUACCUGGAGAAAAAGCAACGGCUAACUACGUGCCAGCAGCCGCGGUAAUACGUAGGUUGCAAGCGUUGUCCGGAUUUACUGGGUGUAAAGGGCGUGUAGGCGGAGCCGCAAGUCAGAUGUGAAAUCCCGGGGCUCAACCCCGGAACUGCAUUUGAAACUGUAGCCCUUGAGUAUCGGAGGGGCAGGCGGAAUUCCUAGUGUAGCGGUGAAAUGCGUAGAUAUUAGGAAGAACACCGGUGGCGAAGGCGGCCUGCUGGACGACAACUGACGCUGUGGCGCGAAAGCGUGGGGAGCAAACAGGAUUAGAUACCCUGGUA
rnacentral:rRNA from 1 species